rnacentral:rRNA from 1 species
UACGGAGGGUGCGAACGUUAAUCGGAAUCACUGGGCGUAAAGCGCGCGUAGGCGGUUUGUUAAGUGGGAUGUGAAAUCCCCGGGCUUAACCUGGGAAUUGCAUUUCAAACUGGCCGACUAGAGUACGGUAGAGGGAGGUAGAAUUUCCUGUGUAGCGGUGAAAUGCGUAGAUAUAGGAAGGAAUACCAGUGGCGAAGGCGGCCUCCUGGACCGAGAUUGACGCUGAGCAGCGAAAGCUAGGGGAGCAAACGGG